UUCCCAGACUCCUACGGGAGGCAGCAGUAGGGAAUUUUGCGCAACGGGCGAAAGCCUGACGCAGCAACGCCGCGUGAUCGAGACGCCCUUCGGGGUGUAAAGAUCUGUCAGUGGGGACGAAACUUGACGGUACCCACAGAGGAAGCACCGGCUAACUCCGUGCCAGCAGCCGCGGUAAUACGGGGGGUGCAAGCGUUGUCCGGAUUUAUUGGGUUUAAAGGGUGCGUAGGCGGCAUUAUAAGUUAGUGGUAAAAUAUUGGGGCUUCACCUCACUACGCCAUUAAUACUGUAGAGCUAGAGAACAGACGAGGUAGGCGGAAUAAGUUAAGUAGCGGUGAAAUGCAUAGAUAUAACUUAGAACACCGAUAGCGAAGGCAGCUUACCAGACUGAGUCUGACGCUGAUGCACGAGAGCAUGGGUAGCGAACAGGAUUAGAUACCCCAGUAGC
rnacentral:rRNA from 1 species